UUGGAAGUAAAAAGUCGUAACAAGGUUUCCGUAGGUGAACCUGCGGAAGGAUCAUUACCGAGUGAGGGCCCUCUGGGUCCAACCUCCCACCCGUGUUUAUUUUACCUUGUUGCUUCGGCGGGCCCGCCUUAACUGGCCGCCGGGGGGCUUACGCCCCCGGGCCCGCGCCCGCCGAAGACACCCUCGAACUCUGUCUGAAGAUUGUAGUCUGAGUGAAAAUAUAAAUUAUUUAAAACUUUCAACAACGGAUCUCUUGGUUCCGGCAUCGAUGAAGAACGCAGCGAAAUGCGAUACGUAAUGUGAAUUGCAAAUUCAGUGAAUCAUCGAGUCUUUGAACGCACAUUGCGCCCCCUGGUAUUCCGGGGGGCAUGCCUGUCCGAGCGUCAUUGCUGCCCUCAAGCACGGCUUGUGUGUUGGGCCCCGUCCUCCGAUCCCGGGGGACGGGCCCGAAAGGCAGCGGCGGCACCGCGUCCGGUCCUCGAGCGUAUGGGGCUUUGUCACCCGCUCUGUAGGCCCGGCCGGCGCUUGCCGAUCAACCCAAAUUUUUAUCCAGGUUGACCUCGGAUCAGGUAGGGAUACCCGCUGAACUUAAGCAUAUCAAUAAGCGGAGGAA
rnacentral:rRNA from 1 species